rnacentral:rRNA from 1 species
ACGCUGGCGGCAGGCCUAACACAUGCAAGUCGAGCGGUAGAGAGAAGCUUGCUUCUCUUGAGAGCGGCGGACGGGUGAGUAAUGCCUAGGAAUCUGCCUGGUAGUGGGGGAUAACGUUCGGAAACGGACGCUAAUACCGCAUACGUCCUACGGGAGAAAGCAGGGGACCUUCGGGCCUUGCGCUAUCAGAUGAGCCUAGGUCGGAUUAGCUAGUUGGUGAGGUAAUGGCUCACCAAGGCGACGAUCCGUAACUGGUCUGAGAGGAUGAUCAGUCACACUGGAACUGAGACACGGUCCAGACUCCUACGGGAGGCAGCAGUGGGGAAUAUUGGACAAUGGGCGAAAGCCUGAUCCAGCCAUGCCGCGUGUGUGAAGAAGGUCUUCGGAUUGUAAAGCACUUUAAGUUGGGAGGAAGGGCAUUAACCUAAUACGUUAGUGUUUUGACGUUACCGACAGAAUAAGCACCGGCUAACUCUGUGCCAGCAGCCGCGGUAAUACAGAGGGUGCAAGCGUUAAUCGGAAUUACUGGGCGUAAAGCGCGCGUAGGUGGUUUGUUAAGUUGGAUGUGAAAUCCCCGGGCUCAACCUGGGAACUGCAUUCAAACUGACUGACUAGAGUAUGGUAGAGGGUGGUGGAAUUUCCUGUGUAGCGGUGAAAUGCGUAGA